CCUCAUGAGAGAGAGUGCAAGCUGUGGAUAAGUCUUCCGUUCUGAUGGAGAGGCAAUAGGCACACAUAUAAGAAUAUAUACAGGAUGAACACAAGGUCAUCUCGAGCUCUCCAAUUUACAUGAGAAGUUUCCUGGGUCACCAAAAGAUUAAAUGACUUGCCAAGGGGUCACCCAGCUCAGAUGUGUCAGAGACAAGACUUGAACUGAGGUCUUCUUGACUCAGUGUCCAACACUCCAUCCUCUCUGGUCUACACACGCAGUGUCACGUAGCUUUCAUAAACAGUCAGCGUGAUCUUAAUGUCCAUCUCUGUAUAAGCAGUACGGCUGUGUCUCUGAAUAUUUAACAUUCCAGAAAUGACCUCAGGCAGUGACACAGAGAUGCUGGCAUGAUCUGUAACCCAAGAGGUCCCUUUCUUGAAUUACUUAUAGGAAAGGUAUUUAAAGGUCUUAGUGCAGUUUUAAGAUAUUAAAACUUAAAAGCUUAAGUUAAAGCUAAAAUCCUACCUGGGAGGCAGAUGC